GUCAGGGUAGCUCAGCUGG
rnacentral:tRNA from 2 species